rnacentral:tRNA from 1 species
AGGGGAGUAGCUCAACUGGCAGAGUGGCGGUCUCCAAAACCGUAGGUUCCGGGUUCGAUUCCUGGCUCCCCUGCCA